GAAGGAUAGCAUCAAGAUCAUGGAAAGUGAUAGUACUGCUGACAGUGACAUCACAAAGGCUAUCAGAACUUUAUUGCUAUAGAGUCAGAAGAUCAAAGAUGAUAGUUUCUUUCAACGUCCUCUUAUACUAAAGAGGAGUCAUCUCACCCCAAUGGGAUCAGCUCAUCCCACUUGUUCCAGCCGAAGAGGCCUACUUAGCAUUCUAUCUGCCAAAGUGGGAUCCAGAAGAUGUGAUGUGGCCCUCAACUUCUGGAAUAUUCUCCCAUCAGAGAUUGUUUUGCUUCAUAAGCAUCUUGAGAUGAUGUCAGUGCAUUGCAGAGGUGAUGCAGAGAACAAUAUGUUGGCUUGACCUGUAGCCUCCUGCAUCCAAGUUACAAUAAUAUGUGGCAUAUACUGUGGGAGGGAGUACUAUGGCAUCUGCAUCAAGGAUAAAUUCAUCAAGGCCACCACUACCACAUGAUUGGAACAACACCAAUUGGAAAUCUGAAUGCAUUCCUCCACAUGUAGAUUCAUGGAUUUUUGACUUGAAAAACCACUGUAGUAUAUGCAGCUGAAUGAAUUUAAUCAGGAACUGCUGGAUUGUCAAACAUUUCAAAGGAAUUGGGCAAAGGACAAAUGCUACAAAAGAAAGAUGUGCAACUGACUACCUUGUCUUUCUUUCCUCUUCCAUUGUAAAGUGCAUUCAUUUUUAUUCACUGGGCUCUCCCACCUACAUGGUCUCCAAAUGAGCUGCUUCUCUCACACCCUGGUUAAUCUGUUUGUUUUAAUGACAACUGUGAAUCUGAGGGUAUUUUAUUUUAUUGUUUUAUUUUAUUUAUAUAUUUUAGUUCAAACAUUUUCCUAUCUACAUACAAUCAAACGUUGCUGGACUAAAAACAAUUGGUUCUCCUUUUUUAGGAGAAACAUUAAUUCUGAAUAGACCUUUGCUGGAAUAUCCUAACAUAUUUGACUUGUUUACUCAGGAAAGUGUCCUAGAACUGAAUUCUAAAUUUAGUAUCUUAUUGCCCCAUACUUAGAGAGGAAUAGGUCCCAUUGAACUCCAUUGGAACACUUUCCAAAAUACCAAUUUUAAGACUAGUUAGCAGUUUCAAAUGACCAUCCUACUUUAACAUGAGAAAAAGUGGAGCUGAAUCAUUCUGGGAAAAAGAAGAGAUAGUUUCUUCUACCAAUUCUCCCUUACCUUUUUGUAAAUUCUAACUUUAUAAUCCUUCUUCUUCCUUACUUCUACAAACACCAUUGUAAUUUUUAAAAAAUACUACUUUGCUUUUGGUUCCUUUGUAGUUUUCAUUAGGAUGCCUUUGCAGAAUUCAUAUCUAAGGUUGAAAUACUGCUUAAAACUAGAUGGAUGGAUGAAAGAUGGAGAGAGAGCAGAGUAGGCUUGUAUAUUCUAAGAUCCUAGAUUUUUGGAAACUGCUGUGCUUGAGAUAAAAGACUUAACAUUCUCACCAAUACAAAUAGAUAUCCUGGUUCAUUGGCUUCUGUUUUACUCUGAAAAAAAUCCUUGCUGAUUCCUUGGCCAGAAUUAAUGAACAAAAUGUUGGUGAAACAAAUUUCUGCCUUCCCAAAUUAUGGGUCACACCUUCCCAACUACUGGAUAGUUUGCAAAAGAAAUCCCAAAAUCUGAAAGCAGCUCUUGAUUUGGCAAGCUGAAAAACCAAGUGACAAGGAGUGGUUGUUUUCAUCAUGUAAAUCUAGUAGGGGAAAGGAACGAAAAAAGGAAUGGGUGGUUGCUUAAAAGGCUUUUAGAAUGAUCAGCCUCUGCUUCUGAUGGUCAAAGACUUCCCUGCAGCUCUGUUUCUUCUGGAAAUGAAAAACGUAGUUGGGGAAAGAAUAUACUCUUGUCUCUUAGGCUUGCGGUGGAGCGUCAGUUCAGUUUGUCAAUUUUUAUUCUCUUUCAACGUGGGCUAAAUGAAAACUCUUUCAAAACCUGAGAGAAAUGAUAGGAAUCAUGACAGGGUUUGUUUUGACAUAGGGCUACCUCAGAACCUCAUUUCCUUUAAUGAAAGCUGAGAAUCUGGGAUUUUAGAAGCAUCAAAAUACUGGAUUUCUUAACGGUUUUUAUGAUGUAGGCCCAAAGGGAUUUUUUUUAAAACGUAUCCCCUCCAGUAUGCAAUUACUUCUUUAAAGCCAGGCAGGUUGGUGGAAGAAAUAAGGAAGAAACACGUCUUUUGAGGCUACAAUUUGAUGCAAAUUUAUGGGGAAAUAAACCCAGUAAACUCAGUAGAGCUUACUUCAGAAUAAAUGGAUUUAUUCUGCAGGCCCUAAACCAGUGCUCUUCCUUUCUCUUUCUCUCUAUAUUUCUCACAUGCUUACCUUUUGUACUUGGAAAAAGGUCCUAAAUCCAUUCUUUUUU